GUCUUGGGCGAAGGCAGUGAGUUAUCUCCAUUGAUUGCUCAGUCAGUUACAGAUUAAACUCAGUGUUCUACCCCCCCCUUCUCACUACUGCACUUGACUCGUCUUUA
ensembl:misc_RNA Y_RNA Y RNA